UUUUAAAUUGCUGUGGUAUUUUGACUAUACAAAGGUAUUGUAAUAAGGCUUUAAUUGAGCGCUAAGAGAAUGGAUUUUCAAGAAAAUUCUUUUUUAAAUUUAAAAAUUGAAGUUAUUUUUAUUUGUGAAGAAACAACAAUAAAAAUUAAAGACAAGAAGACCCUAUGAAUUUUUUUUAAAACACAAUUAUAAUAUUAAUUGUGUUUUAAUUAAUUGGGGCGAUUAAAAAAAAUUAUAAACUUUUUAUAAAAAUAAAAUGAUCCACAAAUUGUGAUUUUAUGAAAUAAAUACUCUAG
rnacentral:rRNA from 1 species